rnacentral:rRNA from 1 species
UGGGGAAUAUUGGACAAUGGGCGAAAGCCUGAUCCAGCCAUGCCGCGUGUGUGAAGAAGGUCUUCGGAUUGUAAAGCACUUUAAGUUGGGAGGAAGGGCAGUAAGCGAAUACCUUGCUGUUUUGACGUUACCGACAGAAUAAGCACCGGCUAACUCUGUGCCAGCAGCCGCGGUAAUACAGAGGGUGCAAGCGUUAAUCGGAAUUACUGGGCGUAAAGCGCGCGUAGGUGGUUCGUUAAGUUGAAUGUGAAAGCCCCGGGCUCAACCUGGGAACUGCAUCCAAAACUGGCGAGCUAGAGUAGGGCAGAGGGUGGUGGAAUUUCCUGUGUAGCGGUGAAAUGCGUAUAUAUAGGAAGGAACACCAGUGGCGAAGGCGACCACCUGGGCUCAUACUGACACUGAGGUGCGAAAGCGUGGGGAGCAAACAGG